rnacentral:sRNA from 1 species
GGUGUGGGCCGAAGAUAUGCUCAUGUGGUGUUGAGGAAAGCAGACAUUGACCUCACCAAGAGGGCGGGAGAACUCACUGAGGAUGAGGUGGAACGUGUGAUCACCAUUAUGCAGAAUCCACGCCAGUACAAGAUCCCAGACUGGUUCUUGAACAGACAGAAGGAUGUAAAGGAUGGGAAAUACAGCCAGGUCCUAGCCAAUGGUCUGGACAACAAGCUCCGUGAAGACCUGGAGCGACUGAAGAAGAUUCGGGCCCAUAGAGGGCUGCGUCACUUCUGGGGGUGAGUGGGGGGUCUCAUCUCCCUGCCUACCUCGACUCAGCAUUCCUCCUACUCGCUCUUCUUUUUCCCCAACCUUUUGUUUCUGCUGUGCAUGACCUGUGACCCUUCUCUUUUUACCUGCAGCCUUCGUGUCCGAGGCCAGCACACCAAGACCACUGGCCGCCGUGGCCGCACCGUGGGUGUGUCCAAGAAGAAAUAAGUCUGUAGGCCUUGUCUGUUAAUAAAUAGUUUAUAUACC